rnacentral:piRNA from 1 species
UGAUGUUUUGGGUCAAUGGUCUAUCUU